CCUACGGGUGGCAGCAGUGGGGAAUAUUGCACAAUGGGCGAAAGCCUGAUGCAGCGACGCCGCGUGAGUGAAGAAGUAUUUCGGUAUGUAAAGCUCUAUUAGCAGGGAAGAAGAAAGACGGUAGCUGACUAAGAAGCCCCGGCUAACUACGGGCAAGCAGCCGCGGGAAUACGUAGGGAGCCAGCGUUAUCCGGAUUUACUGGGUGUAAAGGGUGCGUAGGCGGCUGUGCAGGUCUGAAGUGAAAGCCCAGGGCUCAACCCUGGGACUGCUUUGGAAACUGUGGAGCUAGAGUGCUGGAGAGGUAAGUGGAAUGCCUAGUGUAGCGGUGAAAUGCGUAGAUAUUAGGAGGAACACCAGUGGCGAAGGCGGCUUACUGGACAGUAACUGACGUUGAGGCUCGAAAGCGUGGGUAGCAAACAGGAUUAGAUACCCGUGUAGUC
rnacentral:rRNA from 1 species